CUUUAUUCCUUCCUUUCAAUUGCCAUCAUACGGAAUGCUCAAAUUAACAAUCACUCUGACUUCGACUUUUGGUCUUUUCUCUUAAUUCUCUUUUAAAAUAAUAAAAUUGAAAAGUAUACAGUCAAUAAUUAAUUUAAUUUUUAUCAAGUCUUUAUAUGUUUCUUAACUGUUUAGAAAUACACUUUGGUUCAUCUACUUUCAUCAAGAAGAUAAAUACUAUUAAGCAUUUUCCACUACUAUAACAUCAUGGUAGGCAUUUGUUCUUGUCUAGAACAAAUUCUCAAGUAUUUAGAUUCUAAUUUCUCCUCAGGAAGUUUUCAUGAACUACCUCUUUUUCUAUAAGUAUCAUGUGCUCCAUCCAGAGUAUAUAAACCUAUAUACUCAGUAGAACAUAGCCACAUUCAGAUAGUCAACUAACUAGCAAAGUAAAUUAAUAAAUUUUCCACCAUAGGAUUUAUAAGAUGUAGUGAUUGAUAUCCUUCUCAUCAUCAUUCUUUAGUAGCCUUUUUUAUAUGCACGAUUCUGUAUUUUCUCAGAAAUUCUCCUCAUGAUUACUUAAAAAGUACACUGACAUUUUGUACCAUCAGUUCAUUAUAGGGGUUGGAUAGCCUUGAGCUCCCUCAACACUAUCAUUAGUUUCGAGCAUUGGUUUUCCCAUCUUGGCCUUUCUAUGUUUCUAAUUGCAGAUUGCAGACUUAAGAAUUACUUUUAAAAAUAUGUUUUUAAAAAACCAUAAACAUACUUAGUUUUCCUGAAACUAGUUUUUCCACCAUGGUAAAUGGAAAAAAAAAAAUGCUUAGUGGUUCUAGUGGAUCUAAACCCAGACCCAUGACACCUUUCCCUAAAUUCUGAGACUAACUAUUGCUUCCCAUUUCUUAUUGAAACCAGAUCAAGAUGACCUUAAGUAUGCCAUUUCUUUUUGCCAAUACGCCCCUUUCUGAUUUCCCUUAAACAGUAGCAAUUCUGUAACCUUCCUGUAUUUCCUUCCUCUCUUCCUUGCCUUUAUCUUCCCUCCCUCCCUCCCUCCCUUCCUUCCUUCCUUCCAUCCUUUCUUCCUUCCUUCCCUCCUUCCUUCCAUCCUUUCUUCCUUCCUUCCCUUCUUACUUUCUUCCAAUAUAAUCUUUUCUCUUAUUCAGGUAAAACAAAGGUUUCCAGCAGUCUGUAAAAUAUGCCUUGAAAUAAAACAGAAAAUAUAAUACUACAGAAUCACAUGAGGUAGCAAGGCAGAGAUCAUAUUAGUCUGUGUUACUUAUCUAGAUGUGGAGAACUAAACCAAGGAUGAGUCAAGGAAUCCUAAGGCUUUUAAAUAGGUGUGAGAUUGAUUCCAGAAUUUUCUAAAAUUUCAAUGUUAGUUUAAAUGUGGCCAUUUGUCCAUUUCGUGGGCUGAAAAUUAAAAAUAUAAAUAGGGAGGCCGGGUGUUGUGGCUCACGCCUAUAAUCCCAGCACUGUAGGAGGCUGGGGUGGGCGGAUUACAUGAGGUCAGGAGUUCUAGACCAGCCUGGCCAACAUGGUGAAACCCCAUCUCUACUAAAGAAAAUACAAAAAUUAGCCAGGCAUCAUGGCGUAUGCCUGUAAUUGCAGCUGCUUGGGAGGCUGAGGGAUGAGAAUAGCUUGAAUGCAGGAAGUAGAGGUUGCAAUGAGCUGAGAUCACGCCACUGCACUCCAGACUGGCCAACAGACCAAGACCCUGUCUCAAGGGAAAAAAGAAAAAAAAAAAUAUGGAACUAAGUACCUUGGAUGAAGGACUAAGACCCAGAGCUAGAGAAUUACAUGCAUAUUGUAAAAAGAGCAGGAAUAAAGAACAUUUAGGGUUCUUUAAGCCAGGAUUUGUGUGUGUGUAUAUAUGCAUGUACAUAUAUAUUGGUACAUACGUAUGUAUGUAUACAUGGAACUUAAGUCUUGGAAGAUAACAGUUCCACCUAAACAUCUGUUAAAUUGAAUUGAAUUUAUCAAGGGUUUACUAUGUGCUAAUUAAUACCAUAUAUUCAUGAAUAGACAGCAAAGGUAUAGACCUGCCUGGAAUAAGUAAAAAUACGCUAUUUGUAAAAACAUUUCAAUUUUACUCUUUAUCUUGUUAACAUUGUUCAAAUAUAAUUUCUUUCCUCACUACAGACUUGUUCAAUAGUGAUAUUGCUGUUGCUAGAUUAAUGUUUUUCAAAUUUGACUGCAACUAAAAGUUAUAAAUACAUUUUACACAGCAACUCAGCACAUACAUACACAUACAUUUCUUUAAGUGUACAUAACUGAAACAGAAGUUGAACAAUGCUUGCUAUUACUACAUGUGAUAAACUCAUAUAUUUUUCUGCUCCAUUUUAUUCUAACCUACUUUCUAAAAAAUCUUGAUGGUAAGUUAAAACAUUGGUUUCAUGGACCACCAACAUAUUGUCACCUGCAGUUUGAUAAACACACCUCCAUACUGUACAAAAAUGAAUUCAUGUGAAAAGAAUCACAUGAGGAAAAUCUAAAACCACUCCACUUCAUAAAGAAUUUAACUCUACAUAUAGCAGCAUUACAAAGAAGAGCUAAUGUAUUUCUCUUUCGAUGGAAAUAAGCCAAAGUUCUCUCUUCUUUUUCACGGACUAAAGGUAGAGCACACAAAAUAUUUCAUGUUUAAUGGAAGACUCCACAACUUUUCACUUCUUAUACACCUACAUAUGACUGUUAAUUUUAUCCUUUUUUCUUAUCUUCACUUAACAUUAAGAUCACCACUUAUCUAAUUUAAUCUAUUUUUAAAAAGCAUUGCCAAUAGAGAAGUUAUUCCCAAGCAUAGUUAUUUUUCUACCACUGAUUCACCAACACUAGUUCUCGCCAUUUCCACAUGAUUAAAUUUAUAUGGUCUUCUGUUCACUUAAAAAUGUAUUUAAUCUUGUUUCAUUCUCUAAAUUUUGGAGAAAAUAUAUCUAUCUUCUGUGGCAUUUGCCAGAUUUGCUGAAAUAGACAGAAAUGUCCAAAUUUUUCCUAAUCUACAAACAUAUAUCCCUUUCUCUUUUCAUCCUACUUGAUCCCUAUCAUUAUAGUAUUAUCAAUAAUCCAGUUGUGGUAUGGUGUGGGGUUUUUUGUUCUUGUCUUUUAGUCUUUGGGCAAGAAGCAGCACUUUCAGCACCGUCUUUCCCAUAGUCUGACACUUUACUUUCUCAAGAAUGUUUUCUAAAAUAUGAAUUUUAAUGCAGAAGAGACACAAAUGGGAUACCAUUUUCCACCCAUCUUGGAAGUAUUCUCUUUUAGUUACACUUUGGAAUUAUUCUACCAAAUGUUUCAAAUGCAUAAGUAAAAAUAAUAACAUCAGCUAUAACACAAUCUGUUUUUCCUUAUCUCUAAUUCAUCUGCCACUCCACUCAAGCCUCAGUUCUGACUCUCAAACCAAAAGUAUUGAGUCUAGUCAUUAAAAAAAAAUUAUCUUUCUUUUUAAAAAAUAUUUUCCAUCAUCUAAAAAGCUUUUAUAACAGCUAAAGCAAAGCAUACAUCCAUAAUUCCAUCUUGUCAAAGUUCUUUCUAUACACUGCAUUGGAUUCUGGCUUAAAUAUUCCUUUCUCCUUUGUUUCUCAUCUUUCUUGGUCAGCAUUAUAAAUCUUUUAGGGCUUAUCACUCUUUUUCCCCAGAAAAACACCAGCUAUUCCGAUUAAUGCUUAAUAACUGUCUUCAUUUUAAAAAAUAUUCUGUUUUUAGUAAAAAACAGAAAAACUUCAUGUAGCUACUUCACUUUUUAGGUAAAAAUGCAUAUCUACCUGUUUUAUUUCCUAUGUACACUCAUAUAUAUAUAUAUUCUCGAAUUUUCCAAAUUUGUUAAAUAUGUUCACUUUCUAAUAUUUGUUACAUAUGUUUUCCAACUGGAAUUCAUUUCUUUCUUACAAUUAUUCUCUUGACCUCACAAAUUCACAUUUAGAAUAUCUCUGUGUCUUGGAAAAAAAAGUCAAAUAAAAGUAUUGGGUUAGUAACGUGAAACAUAAACACACACACACAUCUAUCAAAAUAUAUAAAAAUUAAUAGUGGUGAUAUGUCUGUGGUAAGGAAGGAGAAAGAGCACUAAAUAAUUGAAAUUGGCUCACCAUAUUGACUGACUUCACUGGGUAAUAUGCUCAGUUUCCUAAGACAUUUGACAGUGCAAGUAUAGGAACAAGGAAACAUGUUUAAUUAGAUUUAUCUCUUUCCAAGUAAACUCAAGUCAUAUCUUUGCCAACUGGGUAAUUAAAACAAAUAUUCAAAAACCACAUACCACUAAUAGACAUCAGGGCUUUAAUGUCUGAAAACUAUAAGUAACCUAUUGGUUUCUUAUCUAUAAAUACAGUUGCCUUAUUCUCCAUUUCCAUUGAGGUUUUAAAAUUGGACUGAGAAAUUAUAUAGCAUCUUUCAGUUUGCCAACAACAUUAAACUACAUAUAAUGUUAAAACGUUAUAAGGUAGGUUGAUAUUACUUUCAUCUUAUUGAUGAGGAAAUAAAGUUCAGAGAAGUUAUGCUGAUGUACCUAACAUUGUUCAACUAUUAAGUUACUUGAUACUAGUGGCUCUUUUCACAAUUUCUUACCUAUGUGGCCACAUGGACCACAUAUAAUUUUAAAUGAAAAGAAAUUAAAAUGUAGGAGCUUAGUAGUAUAUUUCCUGAAUAUAAUUUAUACCAUUUUAUAUAAACCAAAGAAAUACAUCUUGAAUAUGACGUCUUUGAAAAAGUAAUUGCUUGCUUUGCCACAAUCUCUUUAGUAAAAAACAUAGUGGGAAAUAAAUGGGUUAAAGAUUAAGAAAGAGGAAACCAAAAAAUUCAGCAGGCUUGAUUUCAUACCUAGCUAUGGAUUCUUACGCUCUUAAAAUAAAUUAAGAGAAAGCCCAGAAGUUUCACAGAGGAAAAAAUAUUUCUCAUAAUGUUUUAGAGUAGAAGUUAACAAGCCUGCUGGGAUCCUUUUAGCCCCUGCAGAGCUAAGUCUUCAACAUUAUUAAAUGGCUGUCGCAUCUGAAGUAUGGUACAACAUAACUCAAUAAACAACAGAAAACAUAUGAUGCUGAAUGGAGGGAGGCUUUUCGAUUACCCUGCAGAAUAAUUCAAUUUCAGGACAGGUGUUUGCAUGUGAUGGAACAAGAUAUGACUCAAGGAUAAAAUCACCCUUAUGCCCCUCCCCCAAUAUUUUGAAAAUCCUAAUAAUAGCAGCAAAAUGCUAGAUUUAAAAGUAUGUUAAAAAUGGUCAGAAACACUGAUGCACAAAUGAAGGAACAAAAUUACACAUGCACAAAAUUCUCAAAAUUUACAUGGAUUACAAAAAAUACAUACUUUCUUGAAAAGAAGUUUUUAUAAAAGAUGAUGCUUCCUAGAAUGCCCUACUUCCCCAGCUAAGAUCAUCUGACAUUUUGAUCAGUGACUAAAAGUCACAUUACUAAUAAAAUUUAGAUUUUAUUUUCAGUUCAUUUUUGCUUUUUUACAAACUAAUCUUGGAAUAUGAGAGAAACUAUAAAAGAAUUAGUCCUUUCUCCAAUUUGUAUAUUUACAUGGGCUUUUAAAUAAAUCUUGUAUUUAACUUAUGACUUUAACUAGAUAUUUCUAUAUGACAAAUGCAAGAGUUUAUUUUUGGUAUUUUGCAUAAUGGGAGUAAAAUAAAUUUAAGAAAUUAAAGCAUAUCCACUCAUAUUGAAUAGUAGGACAUUAUGUCAAGCUUUUUCAGAGUAAAUUGAAGUGAAAUGUUUUCUGCAUAUUCAGACAAUCUGACCAGUUGAGGUCCAGCAGUAAAUUCUGAGAGCACCAACAACUUUAGAAGACUUUCUUAAAAGCACACUUUCAACCUAUGCCUGAGAGAUACUCAAAUAGUAUAAUGUUUAACUUUGUAUCCAGAAAGAUAGUUUGUAUUCAGAAUAUUCCAACAAUGUUUCCACCCCACCAUGGAUCUUCAGCCUGGAACCUGUUAAACAAUGUUCCAACUGGAGCAAAUAUGGAUCAAAUGCCUGUUCUUUUUGCAUGCCUUUCAAUUUUCAAUCUUACAGGCUAUUUUAUUAAAUUGUUUUGUACUUAUCAAUCUAUAAGUCUGACUAUGCAAAACUUAACUAUUAAUUCAGAAAAGUAGAUGACUGAGACUAAACAAAAUAUAGAGAAAUACUUCAGUAAUCAAUUAUUUAAGAACUUGAAAAGCCACACGACUUUUAUUUCUUUCAUCACUAGAUACACUUUUCAGAAACCUAAAGUUUAUUUUUUAAAUUUGCUCUUAUAUGCCUUGUGUUUGCUCACUUAUAUUUUGUUUGAUGAUGGUUGAAUUUCAAACAUUCUUAUAGCAUAAUUUACAAAUGAAUUUUAAUUACUUUAUUUUAUUAUUCCUAAUUGCCAUCUAAAACAUGGCUUAGAAUUUACAUGAUGGUUGGAUGGGCGAGGGUACUGUUUUCAUUUAGGAAGUAUUAAAAAUGUAUGUACGCUUUGUAAGUUUUUAAACUGACAGUUAAAAUUACAUGUAUUUACUGUGGGUACAACAUGAUAUUUUGAAGUAUAUAAAAAACAACUUUAACUCCCUUGUAUUAAAUCCAGUGAUGGAAAAAUAAUCUCAUUGAACUUGUUUUGCAGUUUGAUGCCUUGGCCACAAAUUCAUUUGUGGCUUUAGUCAAAGAUAAAAUUUUCCAAGCUUUUUCCUUAUUAUUUAUAAAAUUGAGGUGUUUUUUCCUACAUUAUUUAUAUGUUACAUUCUAAUGUUAAUAUACUAUCAUUUUGUUUAAAUUUUAUUGAAAAAUUUCCCCUUUCCCUUUCAUACUCACUUAUAUAUUUGCACUUUUUGGUUAAAAUAAAAAUAUUUUUCUGUUGGUAAGUUUCUUAUUCUUGAGAUGAAAAAUUGAAAACUCAUUUCUUAAAAAUUAUGACAUAAAAAAACUGGUGGAUGUUUCCAUUUAAGACACAAAACAUUUGCAUUUUAUCCAUAGAUUUUUUUGUCACCAAACCUCAGAAAUGUAUAUGUUCAAUUAUUGAAUUAUUUUAUUAACUAAAAGCUCUUAGUUUGAGUGACACACCUAUUUUACAUCUGGUCUACAAGUUAAUUUCCUCAGGAGGCAGGUGCCACCUUCCUGUACUCAUUACAGAUGGUGCUUUGUCCAGAGUUUUACAAUUGCCAUUUAUGGUUGGGGCUCUUAGAACUUAACAGCGUAAACAAUAUGUCCCUCCUCCCCUAUUACACUCUUCUGAAGUAAGCUAUCAAGUUAGAGACAGUAUUUGAAUUUUUUUCUGCCAACCCCCUUAGAAACUCAACCUAACUUGUGGAAAAAUUACUGUUGGCCUGUACAUUCGGCAGAUAGAUUUUUAAGAGAUAAAAGAAAGUAAAGAAAAAAAAUGGAACCAUCCUUCUUCCUGACUUUCCAGUCUCUCAAUGUCUUCACUAUAACCUGCUCUCUCUAGUUUCUUCUCCAGCUCAAGGAAAGUCUCAGUGGUGGCAGUGUGAAACUUACUGCAAAGAGAGCCAAGAGUGGGGGAAGGGAAACCUCCUGAGGCACUGCUUACUAAUGUAAUUCCAUAAAUCAACUAAUGGUAGAGAAACCAGAUCUGUGUGGUCUCUAAUGCUGUCCCACAGAGAUCAAUCAUGUCACCUGAACAAUGUUCAGAGACUAAGAGGCUGGGGUUGCCCAUGGGACAAUUUUAUCCCUUGAGCCAUAUCAGAUUGGGAUAUUUUUAAAAGUUAGAAGUCAGUAUCAGAAAUGUUACUGUUGUGAAUAUAAAAACUGAAGGAUUAUCUUUGCAAGAGACAAAGUGUUAUCAUGUAACUUAUCAUAAGGAUCUCCUAUAUGAUCACGUUUAUUAAAACAUCAAGGAACUUAAUAUUUUUCAUUUAGGAUAGAAAUUUUUAAAACAGUUUUUGUCACACAAGGGGCAGAGAGCAUUUGUAAUGACUGCUUUGAACAAUUAGUGGCUAUUUUUUUAACAGAGUAAUUGACUUAAUGAACAGUGGUUAUGCAAAUACACAGUGCACAGUAUAACAGAAAAACUAAAUGUUUUGUGUGCAUUAUCAUAUCAAAUAUGAUCAAGGGGUGAUUUUAUAAACACAUUUCUAGGGCAUCAUAAGAUGCUCUUAAGGUGAGACUAAGCAGAAAAAUAGAAGGCAGUUUUAAAAGGAACACUAGGGAGGAGGCUUUGAAAAAAAUCUGGAUGAGAGUCCCAACAUAUCCAUGUGAGUCUGUCUUAAUUUCAGUUUUCUCACCCUGAAAAAAAAUCUGACUAUGUCUCCAGUCUUUGGGAUGAGAACAAGUCAAAGGGAAGAGUGGCACAUGAGUCUUGAAGUGAUAAAGAAGAAUAUAUGUUAUUAUUAUGAUCCAGAUGUUAAUUGGCACCCAUAAUUCAAAGCCAACAAAUAUUAGCUAUGGAGUUUACAUCUGGAACCCACAGGUGAUAUCCACAAUGAGUCCCCAAAUCACUGCCCUCAGCCAGGAACCCAUCCAAUCUCUAAAACAUUUUCCCAGAUGAGGAUGGACCAAAUUUAAGAGAGAAACCAGGUCAGCAGGGGGACUUUUCACCUUCCUGCAAUUCCUCUUCCAGCUUUGGUUCAGUCAUGUAAGCCCUGUCACUCUGACAUGUGCUCAGCUGGUUUCCUACAACCAUAACUGUGUAUUUGCACAUAGGUCUAAGGCAGUCAUGAUGGCAUUGUCUUUUUUAAUGAUCUAGAUAGGAUCUUAUACAAUUUUGAAAAAAAGCUUUUUAUUUCUUUUAGCCAAAUAGUAUUCCGCUAAUAAUCUUAGCCUUGAAACACAGCCCAUGCUCUGAUAGAAGGGAUCUGAAGUUAGAAGAUCAGCUUGAGAGUUCAAAGGAAAAAAUCAGCUUCUUAUUCUACCCAUACCCCACCUUGUGAAGAGUAACAGAAUUUUUGUGCAUGAGAAUUUUUUAAAAAGAAGAAAAUGUAGUUUUAUGGGAUUUUGUCAUCAAAAUGCCUGAGGAAUUUAAAUAUCACAACAAGCUUGUAGGAAAAGCAUCAAAUUAAAAAAUUACACCAGCAUAGAAACUUGUGCAGAAAACCUAUUGGUACUCAUAUCAAACCCCUGCAGGGUAAUUAUUUACUAAAUAAAUCAGAAUUAUUCAGUUACUACAUAUCUUAAAUUGGGAUGCAAGUAGUGCCACGAGUCUAGCUAAAGAUGAGGCCUAACAGCAGAACCAAAUUUAUAAUUCUAGAUACUACAUUUCAAGAGGAAAAAUAAAAGCCAUGUUGUCCUUAUCAGCUGGGAAUAGAGAAUUUCAGUAUGAACUGAAUUUUAAUUUCCCAUAGUCCUUAGAAGUUACAAUAAAUUAAUCCGGCAAAGAAGAUUCAAAAGCUAUUUUUUGCCACCUAAGAAAAUACAUGGACCUGCAUUAUAGUUGCUAUUAUAUUUGCACAAAGAAAGUUGCCAAAGAAAAUGUAAUAAACCAUCCAGGAGUAAAGUUAAACUUUCCAAAAAGAGCUGAUUUAUCUUAUAAAGAAGAAUAAAUGCAAUAUUUUGAUGAAACUGAUCAUACCCAAUAAUGACAUCAACAUAAUUCUGAUAUUUUUAGAAUCCUAGAGGGCUAUCUCAUUUGAUUUACACAAUUAAAGGUUAAAAAAAAAACUGUAUCUUCUUUGUGUUCAAACCUGUACCAAAGAUCUUUAACCCUUCUCUUUAUUCUUUUAAAGACUGCUUCCCAGUUCAUAAAGCAAACUCCUCUAAGCAGUACUCACAAUUUUUAAAAGAAUGUACAGAUAACCCUAAGAUAACUUGUGAGAGCCACUCUCAUCCUGCAACUCACUCCACAGAAUAUUAAAAUGUUAAAGCACAGAAUGCUAAACCCACCACCUACAGUCUCAUGUAUAUAUGAACAUCUAAUUAUCUACCCUGUAAAUUUUAUCGAGACUAACUAUAAGUACUUGUCCAGAUUUCUUUGUUUAAUAUACCACCAAAGUCAUUUACCUGUGAUUUUUCAUUUUUCCCCAUUUUUGUUUUGAUCAGGACACAAUACAAAAUUUUUAUCAAAGGUAUCAAUCUCUGUAUUUAGCAUAAUUCAUAACCUAAUUUAACAAUUACUUUAGUGAGCAUCUGUACAAUAUCUGUUUUAAAGACCUAUAGGUAAAAGAAACUAUUAUUGACCAUAUAAGGUAUCAACCAAAACUGUGCUUGGUGUAUACACCAACUUUGUAACCACAAAAUGGUUACUUUGUCCAAUGCAGAGCCCAGGGGAAAUACUUUUUUUGUAACUGAGUUUUAGAAAUUAUUCAUUCUAAAACCACAUAAAAUAAUUUUUAAACAAAAUCACUCUUAUCUGCCCUGAAAUUAACUAAUUGUAUCCCUUUAUUCUAAGUCACAUCUCCUCAAAAUUUGCAGGUAGAAAUCCGCUUCCUACACAGUUUCAGCUUUCUCCAAAAAUAUCAGAUACGCAGAAAAUAAAAUAGAAAACAUUCUGCCUUGAUGAGUAGAAAAAUGAUUCUAGAAAAGGGUAGGAAAUCCCCUUCUGAAUCCAGGUGUUUCAACUUCAUUGAAUACUGCUGUGUGGUUUGUUACCGGUUUUUUAAUGAGAACAGGCUUGUGUACCACAAACUGUGUCCUCACUGUUAUAAAUGGGCCACUAACUUAGCCAGUAAACUUGUAUAGGAUGUGAUGUGUCCAGUCCUUUGGGCAAGAUGCCCCACCCUUUUUAAUGAGGAGGAGGGGGCAUUUUAAACCACCAAGGGAAAAUAUUGAGCAUAUUGAAUGUGAAACUUCUGAUUCUUCAAUUACAUUAUUUUUCCCCCAGGGAUAAAAAGGAGGGCACUCUCUCUAUCAGAAGGGCGGUGUCACGUGAAGUGCAGCUGGUGCGGGUGGUGGAGAGGCCAAGCCUUUCGCAAACCACCUACAACUCUUACCACCUGAAUGAAGCUUCUGAGAAGGGGUACUGCAUCUUGAAGCCAGACAAGAAUCCCUGAAGGGGAGAGGGAGUGAGGAGGGAAGGGGGGAGACUGGGAAACAAGAAAUCAUCUCCUCUGACCUCUAGUGAAGUGCCAGGUUUUUUCUUUAGCUCUUCACAUUUUCUAAAUUUGCAGAUCUGGUGUCCCGUUUUGCGGUUCCUGCAACUGCUGCAGACGCCACAGUUGAUGAGCCUCUUGCAGGGCACGCAGACCCCACACCUUUUCCUCUUCUUCUUGGCUGGGUUGGCUCCGCCAGCUCCCCCUGAGGAGGACGAGGAGGAGGAGGAAUGAUUCUGCGGGCAGUCUGCCAGAUUGGCAAUUUGAAACGCACUGUCUGUGACGGCUGCUGAGGCUGCUGCGGGGGAGUGAAGGGCUGUCAUGACGAUGACCCCUGGAGAACAAGAUGGACCGACCAUCAACAAGAGUACUGUUUAAUAUAUAUUCAAAAGAGAUCGAGAAUGAAUGAGCAGAAGACUCCCAUCAGCUGUUCCAAUGGAAAAUCACGACCUCUCAGUUUCCAGACUUAUACUAGCUCUAAGACCUUGAACAUAUCAACUAAAGGAGAAACAAGAUCUUCAUGAGGAAGGAUCCUGAAACACCACAUGUAUUAGUCUGUUUUCACACUGCUGAUAAAGACAUACCAGGGCUGGGAAG
rnacentral:lncRNA from 10 species